AUUGAACGCUGGCGGCAGGCCUAACACAUGCAAGUCGAACGGUAGCACAGAGAGCUUGCUCUCGGGUGACGAGUGGCGGACGGGUGAGUAAUGUCUGGGAAACUGCCCGAUGGAGGGGGAUAACUACUGGAAACGGUAGCUAAUACCGCAUAACGUCGCAAGACCAAAGUGGGGGACCUUCGGGCCUCACACCAUCGGAUGUGCCCAGAUGGGAUUAGCUAGUAGGUGGGGUAAUGGCUCACCUAGGCGACGAUCCCUAGCUGGUCUGAGAGGAGGACCAGCCACACUGGAACUGAGACACGGUCCAGACUCCUACGGGAGGCAGCAGUGGGUAAUAUUGCACAAGGGGCGCAAGCCUGAUGCAGCCAUGCCGCGUGUAUGAAGAAGGCCUUCGGGUUGUAAAGUACUUUCAGCGGGGAGGAAGGCGGUGAAGUUAAUAACUUCACCGAUUGACGUUACCCGCAGAAGAAGCACCGGCUAACUCCGUGCCAGCCGCCGCCGUAA
rnacentral:rRNA from 1 species